AUUCCUACGGGAGGCAGCAGUGGGAAUAUUGGACAAUGGGGGAACCCGUGAUCCAGCCAUGCCGCGUGUGUGAAGAAGGCCUUUUGGUUGUAAAGCACUUUAAGCGAGGAGGAGGCUACUUUGGUUAAUACCUAAAGAUAGUGGACGUUACUCGCAGAAUAAGCACCGGCUAACUCUGUGCCAGCAGCCGCGGUAAUACAGAGGGUGCGAGCGUUAAUCGGAUUUACUGGGCGUAAAGCGUGCGUAGGCGGCUUUUUAAGUCGGAUGUGAAAUCCCCGAGCUUAACUUGGGAAUUGCAUUCGAUACUGGGAAGCUAGAGUAUCGGAGAGGAUGGUAGAAUUCCAGGUGUAGCGGUGAAAUGCGUAGAGAUCUGGAGGAAUACCGAUGGCGAAGGCAGCCAUCUGGCCUAAUACUGACGCUGAGGCACGAAAGCAUGGGGAGCAACAGGAUUAGAUACCCUGGGAGGCUCUG
rnacentral:rRNA from 1 species